CAGAUCACUGGAAGUCCAUCUGGAAAACAAGGCAAGAGUGUAAAGCUACUGAAAGAGUAGGCCCACAAACCCUGCUGCGAAAGAAGAGAAAGUCAAUUUCAGCACAGAAACUUAAAGAAAGGUGACUAGGUGAGGCAGGAGAGCCCAGAGACCCCAUCUACAGGCUGGGAAAAGGAACAGAAGGAGGGGGCAGCAGGGUCAGGCCAUUAUCACCUGUCUGAAGAGCCCAAUGGCAAGCAAGAUGCCCUGGAGCGAGUCCAAGAGAGUGCGGGCAAGUUCAGCGCCCCCAGUGCUGCUCACCAGUGCUGCUCCAAAAAUCCCAGGCCAAGAGGGGCUGAAACCCCACCCAGAGGGGCCGGAAGAGAACCAAAGACCAGGGAACCUCAGUCCCUGAGAAGAAGAUCGGAGAGUCUAGGGGCCUGAGAGGCCACAGAACUGGGUAUAAUCUGAGAAGUGGUCCAAGGUCUGUGCACCACAACUGAGCUGCUGAGGUAGUCGGAAAAUUGCACACCAAAACCUACCAGUGAUGGUGCAAUAAAACUUGCCUCUGCGACCCUG